ensembl:lncRNA
CAAAGGGAUGUUCCAUGCCAUAUGGCGUCAUGCUCAGCAAUAAAAACUGGGGUGAAGAAGGAAGAGAGAGACACAGUCGAAGAGACAGUAUUUGUCUUCCCAUGUAACCAUCCAUUGUGAUAAACCCUGCUUUCCUGAAAUGUCUGCUUUCCUGGAGCCCUACUUUCCUGGCUGAGCAUCUACUUGCCUUCUAAGUUCUCUCUGUGUUCUGUUUUGAGUUAAUUAAUUCUUCAGAAAUUCACAGCAUCCACUGAAGAAGGUGGGAGUUGUUGCAAAAAUAAUGUUGGAUUGUGGCUUGGGUACUUCAUUAAAAUUCAGUGAAAUGACCUGCUGAAAGCAAAAUGCUGCAUCAACGUUUCAGACUUGAAAUAGCUUCAGUGGUCCUGUGGACGAAGAGGAAUAUAUGGCAUUUUAAAUUUGCAUUCCAGCCCGUACUUUCCUCAUCUGACAAGCUAACAUGUGGACAGCUCCAAAACUCUGCAUUUCCUUUACUCAUGACAUGCUGAGGAUAAUUUCCGGUAGUGCAUCCGUCUACUCUGACAAGGAAAAGACCAAAAGGAUCAGAAGAUAAAAUUGGUAUUUAACACAGUCACAAGGAGCUGACAGUGAUCACUGAAGCCUUCCAGUUUCAGUUCAUUUCCAAGAAUUUCUGGUGCUUCAAACAGUUUAUGCAGUGAAAAGGGGUACAAAAAGAAAAUCUCCUACCCUUAAUGCUGUGAUUGGAAAGUCUACUGUGUUAAAGAUGUGACCCUGGGCCUACUGAAGACUGCAAAAUUCCAUCUGAAUUUAAAACCAGAUCCAUGAGCCGUUUCAUCCUCUUAUCCUGGAUACCAAUUUUGAGGUCUUCUUCUGAGCAAGUGUGGAGCAGAGAGACCUAUUAUUUGAAGCCUCUCUUGUUCUUAAUCUGUGAUAUCCAAUACAAAGGGGACUGCUGGAUUUUAGAAUUGCAGCCUUCUCAAAACUGAGCCAACUUAUGACAGUCAAUUUAGGGAGGUAAUGUCCAAAAGUUUAAUUUAAGACUAAACAAAGCCUUCGUAUUUCAAUAAUAAUAAUAAUAAUAAUAAUAAAUAUAACUGUUAUAAAAAAAUAUAAAACUUUUAUAAGAGUGGAACCAUGUAAAACGUUUGUGAAGGAGCUCUUGGUAGUUCCUGGUCACUGAAGAGCUCCUAGAUACUGUCUGUUAAAACAGUCUAAGUCUCCCUUCACUUCUUUACUUCUACUUUGAUGACAACUAUAAAUGAGAUAAUCUCAGUUUGCAUUAAUGCAGCUGACAAGAUAAAGAGAUCCAAAAUGCUGUCCCACACUACUAAAUGAAGAGAGACCAUCCACAUAUUAUUACAUCAUUAUAAAUCUAGCAGUGGUAAAGCAACUCGAGUUGUAAAGCAAGUGAAGAUGUGGUGGUUUGCCCUGAAGGCAUUUAAUACUGUGUAAAAUGUCCAGACAUCUACUUUCAUAUGCUUGAUUUUAAGUAACAACAACUCUUACCCUCCUGAAAAAUACACUGUUCUUUAGAGUGCUUCCUUUCCUUUAUAAUGGGAACAAUGAUUCUGCAGAUGAUUUCUGUGUUACAGAUGAGACCUUCUGCCUCUCCCCUCUAUCUUGGUAGGCUGAGUAGAUGAAACCUGUCAUGGUUGGUCAGUCUUGGCCAGUAUUUUGUAAGUCUUCGGAAACUGCAACUUAUGUUACAUGGGAUAAUCUCGAGUCUUGAUGUUUGGUGAAACUCUGAAAUACCAACAGUUACCUAAAUAAACUGAAAUAAC